GUCUGUUUUUACAUGGCAAAGACAUUUUUUAUUCUUGUUUCAUCGACAGAAAUGGAAGUUGAAAGAGUGACGAGGACUAUGCGGCGCACGCCCAUCUGUCCGGGUACAUCGGAAAAAUCAAUAAUAUUUGACAUUUUCACGAGGAUUUUUCGAUUUUUUUCACAACUAUGGAGACUCUGGGACACUUACCGUUUUAGAUCAUCCUCGGUUGACUUUUGUUUCUCUUCUUGAUGACUGUUUUUAACCAAUUUGUCACUUUUCAGAUCGCACCAACCUCACGUCCGCACACAACACUUACGACUCGAUUACACACGGUCCAGUUCCAAGGUUCCGUGGGUUCAGCGGACAGGAGCGUAGAUACUAAUCUUGAGAGGGGAGAAACCGGCCGUCGGACACCCGAAAUGAAAGCCUCAAAAAUUUUUGGAAAGAGUUGGUGUUGGUGAGAGCAGACCCCAGCGUAAACGCACCAAAUUUGGUCAUGCCCAGCCACCUCGAUCCGCUGCUCGUGUGAGAGGUCCCCGAUCGCUUUAAUCCAGCAGAUAGCAUUACCUCGAUACUUACACAGAGAGCUGUAACGAUUGCAAUGAUGCAACGAUAUCUCGAGACCCGUAUCUUAUCUCCGGAACUCGCCUCUUCAAGUUGAAAACAAAUCUCAGUUUGCAGUGCUUGAAGACCCUUAUCUGCACUUCAAGCGAAUAAACUGCAGUAGCCGUCGCCAUCCGAUAGCCCGUCCCCCCGU